rnacentral:rRNA from 1 species
UACGGAGGGUGCAAGCGUUAUCCGGAUUCACUGGGUUUAAAGGGUGCGUAGGUGGGUCUGUAAGUCCGUGGUGAAAUCUCCGAGCUUAACUUGGAAACUGCCAUGGAUACUAUAGGUCUUGAAUACUGUGGAGGUUAGCGGAAUAUGUCAUGUAGCGGUGAAAUGCUUAGAUAUGACAUAGAACACCAAUUGCGAAGGCAGCUGGCUACACAAAUAUUGACACUGAGGCACGAAAGCGUGGGGAUCAAACAGG